UACGUAGGGUGCGAGCGUUAAUCGGAAUUACUGGGCGUAAAGCGUGCGCAGGCGGCUAUAUAAGACAGAUGUGAAAUCCCCGGGCUCAACCUGGGACCUGCAUUUGUGACUGUAUAGCUAGAGUACGGUAGAGGGGGAUGGAAUUCCGCGUGUAGCAGUGAAAUGCGUAGAUAUGCGGAGGAACACCGAUGGCGAAGGCAAUCCCCUGGACCUGUACUGACGCUCAUGCACGAAAGCGUGGGGAGCAAACAGG
rnacentral:rRNA from 1 species